UAGCUCAGUGGUAGAGCGCUUGCCUAGCACGCGCAAGGCCCUGGGUUCGAUCCCCAG
rnacentral:tRNA from 1 species